rnacentral:rRNA from 1 species
AGUUUGAUCAUGGCUCAGGACGAACGCUGGCGGCGUGCUUAAUGAAUGCGAGUCGAACGAGAACCAGAUGAGUGCUUGCACAAGUCUGGGGAGAGUGGCGAACGGGUGAGUAACACGUGGGUAACCUGCCCUGUAGUCGGGCAUAACAGCUGGAAACGGCUGCUAAUUCCCGAUAGUCUGUAGUGGCAUAAGCUACUAUAGUAAAGGUUUUUCCGCUACAGGAUGGGCCCGCGGUCCAUUAGCUUGUUGGUGAGGUAACGGCUCACCAAGGCGACGAUGGAUAGCCGGUCUGAGAGGAUGAUCGGCCACACUGGGACUGAGACAUGGUCCAGACUCCUCCGGGAGUUAGCAUCAGGGAAUCUUGCACAAUGGACGAAAGUCUGAUGCAGCGACGCCGCGUGAGGGAUGAAGGUCUGCGGAUCGUAAACCUCUGUAAGCAGGGACGAAUGCCCCACUUGGUGGGGAGUGACGGUACCUGCAAAGUAAGCCCCGGCUAACUACGUGCCAGCAGCCGCGGUAAUACGUAGGGGGCCAGCGUUGUCCGGAUUUACUGGGCGUAAAGAGCGCGUAGGCGGUUUGGUAAGCGGAGGGUGAAAUCCCGGGGCUCAACUCCGGGGCUGCUCUCCGAACUGCUUGACUAGAGUACGGGAGAGGGUAGUGGAAUUCCUGGUGUAGCGGUGGAAUGCGUAAAUAUCAGGAGGAACACCCGUGGCGAAGGCUGCUACCUGGAACGUUACUGACGCUGAGGCGCGAAAGCUAGGGGAGCGAACGGGAUUAGAUACCCCGGUAGUCCUAGCCGUAAACGAUGGACACUAGGUGUUGGAGGCAUCGACCCCUUCAGUGCUGUUCUUAACGCGUUAAGUGUCCCGCCUGGGGAGUACGGCCGCAAGGUUGAAACUCAAAGGAAUUGACGGGGGCCCGCACAAGCGGUGGAGCAUGUUGGUCAAUUGGAUGAUACGCCAAGAACCUUACCAGGGUUUGACAUGUUUGGGACAGCUGGUGAAAGCCAGUCUCCGUAGCAAUACGGUCCAUUCACAGGUGGUGCAUGGUUGUCGUCAGCUCGUGUCGUGAGAUGUUGGGUUAAGUCCUGCAACGAGCGCAACCCUCGCUGGAUGUUGCCAUCGGUAACGCCGGGAACUCUUCCAGGACUGCCCGAGUAAUCGGGAGGAAGGAGGGGACGACGUCAAAUCGGCAUGCCCCUUACACCCUGGGCUGCAAACGUGCUACAAUGGCCGGUACAAAGGGUUGCUAAGCCGCGAGGUGGAGCCAAUCCCCUAAAGCCGGUCCCAGUUCGGAUUGGGUGUCUGCAACUCGACCCCAUGAAGUCGGAAUCGCUAGUAACCGUGGAUCAGCAACGCCACGGUGAAUACGUUCCCGGGCCUUGUACACACCGCCCGUCAAGUCAUGAAAGCUGGCAGGACCCGAAGUCCACUGCGGUGGCCGAAGGUCAGGCCAGUGAUUGGGACUAAGUCGUAACAAGGUAGCCGUAGGGGAACCUGUGGCUGGAUCACCUCCUU